CCGCCACAGGAACACACUGAGCCCGGUCUGUUCAACAGCGGAUGGGUGCCUCGGUUGGGUGCCUGAUUAGAAAUAUGGUUAAUUUUCAGCAAAAUCUGGCUUCCUCCUUGACAGCUAAAACAGAGCUAACACACAGUUGUGGGACGACCCCAACCGCUGAGUAACGGGUGAGACAGUUCGAGUUUUACUUGUACAUUCAUAGACAUACGGGAAGGUGCUGAAGAACAGGUGCAGGAGUCAAUGUUCGGUCACUGUCAGCAGGAAAAGACUUUGAAAAACUGCGAGAAUGCAAAAAAUUAUGGCAUAAUUGAAGAAAAUAUGCUAACCAACCAAAGACAGCUCAGAAUAGUUGCUAAUGACGGGGUUGCGACCGUUUGAAGGCCGGUAGGUUUUCUCAGUUCGCUCACCAUUGGCAGAUGUGGCAAAAACAAUGGACCCUGGACAGUGGGAUCGAUCAAGACUCGAUUAUCGGCAGAGUUAAUUCUUCAAGCACCUAUAGGAGAAUUAUGAAUGCGGCCUGGGUGAAGCUGAGUGGAGGAAAGACAGGUCAUUCUCACCUCCACACUGCAAGCAGUGACUGAUUGAAGCGUUAUGUGCCUAAUGCCACCCUGAACCAUCAGAGAAGACUGAACUAAACAACCGACUAAACUAAACUUCUGAACAAAAGCUCAGAUGCAAAAUAUCAUAGAUCUGAGCUCAAUAAUACCAUCAGAUACUGGGACAAGGCAGAGACAAAGUCUAGAGGAUUCAUUCAUUCAUAAUUUUAUUUGUUAAAUGAAUACAUUUAUUAUGUAUUAUCCCAGACUGCCAUAUAGUGAUGCAUCAUGACCCUAUACCACUUAAAGUACAUUUAAAGUACCCCUGUUAUGCCAUUUCCAGUAUUGCCUUUCAUGCAGCGUUUAAUGUAGCUGUAUGUGAAUGUAAAGUUGUAAAGCUGAAAAUGCACGAUAAAUAAAGUUGUUGUCACCCAAAAUAAAGAAUGGACUCUGAACAGCUGAAACGAGUCGUUAGGAAUUUGAAUCCCACUUCUGUGAUGGCUAUACCUCACUGGGUAACACAUUUGCAUAAUGCGUGCCUAUGUUCUACGUUGGCUGACCGCGAACAACUUGAUCCGCCCUCAAACAUGUCAUUCUACUGACGACUGCUUCUCUAAUCUCGGGGAGUUCAACGCAGGAUUCACAAAAUGCUUGCUGUUGAAAGAUGGAUCAGUAUCCAGUUUAUUGGGACCAGCUGUUCCACUGAAUCACAACCUGUAAGCAUGAUAAAUAAUAGAUGUUUAGAUGUUUAGAAAAAUACAGAACCAUUGAAAUAUGCACAUCGUUUCUGACACACGCUGUACACCGUAGACCAAUCACAACAAACUAAGACAUCUGACCAAUCAGAGCAGAGCAGGCUCAUGGAAAGGAGGGGUUUAGAGAGAUUGAAUCUUUGAACUGUUUCAAGCAAAUCGUUUGAGAAUCAUCGUUUUUUGACCUUGCAUGUAAUCCUAUUGUAGGAGACUCCCAAAACAAUAUUAGGAACCGUAAAAAUGGCACAAUAGGGGCACUUUAAAAAGAUAAGGAAUUAAAUUAGAAUAAAUAAUUAUCUAAAUUUGAAUAAUUGUUGAAAACAAAUAGAUUAGGUUAGAAAUUAGAAAGUGAACAAUAUACAGUAUAUAUAUAUUUUAAAUUAAUACAUCAAAUACUAUCAAGUAUCAAGAGUUUAUUUAGUCCACAAUACACCAAUCUGAUGUUCAAGUUAUUCAUACUUGUAGAUUUUAAAGACCUGGGUACUGUGAGAUCUCACUAUACUAUAAUAAGUGAAUUAAAAAUCAGCAUUUACAAACUGGCAUAUUACAGCAACACCUUCAUUUCAUUAUAAUGUGGUGUUUUAGAGAUAUUAUUACAAACAAACAAAAAUGAAGAAAAAUGGCAGAAAAAGAGGGUAGUUGACAGUCAGUGGAAUGGCGGGUAUGAAGUUGGGCCUCUUGGGCAGCACUGCUGAUACAGAGACUCCAUAGAUCCCUCUCUGAGCUUCAUUUGUUCAGCUCAUUAGAUAUUGAGCAAGUGGCAGAUUUGUGUGAUCGCCGAUAAAAUGGCUCCCCUACACUGUGAAAUGCCUGGGAGCAU
ensembl:lncRNA